ensembl:lncRNA
AGAAAUUAUAACAUGGCGUGAGAUGAGACGUUGCUGUCACACUGAAAAAGGCGGAGGAAAGCGAGGUGUUUUUUGUUUUGUUUUGCUUUUCAACAAAAUUUGGAGUGUGUACUUUCAAUAUUUUUUCCCGGAACAGAUUCUUAAAGGAGAGAUCUGGAAUAUUGCACAAGUUGCUUGUUCAACAGGAAGUUGCAUCAUACACAUUUCCUGAAGAUAACGGGAAGAAGAAAAGUUUUGUGGCGCAGCCUAUUCACCAGGCACCACCUCUUUGUGCAAUGUGAAUGGAGCCCACAGUGAUGUAUUUCUCCCUCGGAGUGAACAUGCUCUUGUUUUUGUAAUGAUAACCAUCUCGGCCAUUUGUACUAGCCUGCUGAAAGUGACAGAUUAUUUGUGGCUCCUCUGGCAGAAGCCCAGCACUUGCCUAAUUGGCGCCCGAGCUCAAGUCCACCUCACGGAGGCAGUGAGUGUAUGGCUAACUGCGCCACUCCGGCAGACUGGAGGCUACUUAUGCAUUCAGGAUCACAGUCUGGAUUCAUCACACUCACACACACAAACACACACACUGACACUGCAGGACUUUUCAACAUGGUGCAGCAAGCGUACAUUCCCAGAUGAAGGCAGCUGUCGCUGAGCUCGAAGCCUGACAUAUUCCCAGUUCUGGUCCCUGUGGACUCCCUGUGAUCUGCCUGCAUCUCACCCGAGACCUUCUCAUCACCCUCCUCCAUGCUUGUCUUGCUCUCUCUCUUUCGCUCUUGCCCUCGGCCUGUCUCUUUCCUGCUGUAUUACCAUCCUCCAGCCUUCUGACGAGACUUCACACCCCCACAAAUGGC